rnacentral:misc_RNA from 1 species
GAUACUCUCUUGUAUAUGUUUCGUGAAUUCAUCCUUCUAUACAAAGAAUAAAAUUUAAAGUAAUGAUAUUUACUAAAUUCUCAACAAGCAGCCUAAAAUAGUUAAUUGCAAUAUCAACAAAGAUGGUGACGAUACCAUAAUGAUGAUGGGAAAAGUCCCACAUUAGCAAUAUCCUCUAAAUCAUUUAUUAAGCAUGUACUACUUGCAUAGUUAUUAAAGGCGCACCUCA